rfam:Ordospora colligata OC4 contig_02, whole genome shotgun sequence.
GGUUGGAUGGCCGAGUGGUCUAAGGCGCUGGCUUAAGGUGCCAGUCUCUUCGGAGGCGCGAGUUCGAACCUCGCUCCAGCCA